UACGAAGGGUGCAAGCGUUACUCGGAAUUACUGGGCGUAAAGGGUGCGUAGGCGGUUGUUUAAGUCUGCCGUGAAAUCCCCGGGCUCAACCUGGGAAUGGCGGUGGAUACUGGGCAGCUAGAGUGUGGCAGAGGAUGGUGGAAUUCCCGGUGUAGCGGUGAAAUGCGUAGAGAUCGGGAGGAACAUCAGUGGCGAAGGCGGCCAUCUGGGACAACACUGACGCUGAAGCACGAAAGCGUGGGGAGCAAACAGG
rnacentral:rRNA from 1 species